GUCGAGAAUCUUUCGCAAUGGGCGCAAGCCUGACGAAGCGACGCCGUGUGAACGAAGAAGGCCUUCGGGUUGUAAAGUUCUUUCGCUUGGGAACAAGGCAAGUUCAUAAAUAAUGAAUUUGUUUGAGGGUACUAGGUAAAGAAGCACCGGCUAACUCCGUGCCAGCAGCUGCGGUAAUACGGAGGGUGCAAGCAUUAAUCGGAAUUACUGGGCGUAAAGGGCGCGUAGGCGGCUUAAUAAGUCAUUUGUGAAAUUCCAGAGCUUAACUCUGGAGCUGCAGAUGAAACUAUUAGACUUGAGUAAAAGCGGAGAAAAUGGAAUUUCCCAUGUAGCGGUGAAAUGCGUAGAUAUGGGAAGGAACACCGGUGGCGAAAGCGGUUUUCUAGCUUUUAACUGACGCUGAGGCGCGAGAGCAAGGGGAGCAAACAGGAUUAGAAACCCUAGUAGUCC
rnacentral:rRNA from 1 species